AACGAACGCUGGCGGCAUGCCUAACACAUGCAAGUCGAACGAGACCUUCGGGUCUAGUGGCGCACGGGUGCGUAACGCGUGGGAACCUGCCCUUAGGUUCGGAAUAACUCCCCGAAAGGGGUGCUAAUACCGGAUAAUGUCUUCGGACCAAAGAUUUAUCGCCUUUGGAUGGGCCCGCGUUGGAUUAGCUUGUUGGUAGGGUAAAAGCCUACCAAGGCGACGAUCCAUAGCUGGUUUGAGAGGAUGAUCAGCCACACUGGGACUGAGACACGGCCCAGACUCCUACGGGAGGCAGCAGUGGGGGAUAUUGGACAAUGGGCGAAAGCCUGAUCCAGCAAUGCCGCGUGAGUGAUGAAGGCCUUAGGGUUGUAAAGCUCUUUUACCCGGGAUGAUAAUGACAGUACCGGGAGAAUAAGCUCCGGCUAACUCCGUG
rnacentral:rRNA from 1 species